GCAGUCAUAGUUUAACGGUAAAAUUACAGCCUUCCAAGCUGAGGUUGAGGGUUCGAUUCCCUUUGACUGCUCCA
rnacentral:tRNA from 1 species